rnacentral:rRNA from 1 species
AGUGAACGCUGGCGGUAUGCCUAACACAUGCAAGUCGAACGGCAGCACAGUAAGAGCUUGCUCUUACGGGUGGCGAGUGGCGGACGGGUGAGGAAUACAUCGGAAUCUACUUUUUCGUGGGGGAUAACGUAGGGAGACUUACGCUAAUACCGCAUACGACCUACGGGUGAAAGCAGGGGAUCUUCGGACCUUGCGCGAUUGAAUGAGCCGAUGUCGGAUUAGCUAGUUGGCGGGGUAAAGGCCCACCAAGGCGACGAUCCGUAGCUGGUCUGAGAGGAUGAUCAGCCACACUGGAACUGAGACACGGUCCAGACUCCUACGGGAGGCAGCAGUGGGGAAUAUUGGACAAUGGGCGCAAGCCUGAUCCAGCCAUACCGCGUGGGUGAAGAAGGCCUUCGGGUUGUAAAGCCCUUUUGUUGGGAAAGAAAAGCAGCAGGUUAAUACCCCGCUGUUCUGACGGUACCCAAAGAAUAAGCACCGGCUAACUUCGUG